AUGGCGGCAAAGUUCUUCCUCAUUGCCCUUCUGGCUCUGUCAUUUUCCCGUGCUCGUGCCUCGGACCCGAGCCAGCUCCAAGAUUUCUGCGUCGCUGACAGGACAUCCCAAGUUUUUGUCAAUGGAUUUGCCUGCAAGGACCCGAAGGCUGCGGAGGUAGAAGACUUCUUCUUCUCUGGCCUUCACAUGUCCGGGAACACGAGCAACAAGCAAGGCUCCGCUGUGACGGCGGUUAAUGUGGCGCAUAUUGCUGGGCUGAACACUUUGGGCAUCUCCUUGGCUCGGGUUGAUUAUGCUCGAUAUGGUCAAAACCCACCCCACAUCCACCCCCGUGCAUCUGAGAUCCUGACGGUGGUAGAAGGCUCACUCUAUGUUGGUUUCGUGACCUCGAACCCCGAGAACAAGUUGUUCUCAAAAGUUCUUAACAAAGGGGAUGUUUUUGUGUUUCCACAAGGGCUAAUUCACUUUCAGUACAACUGCGGAACCAAAAAAGCUAUAGCCAUUGCGGCGCUGAGCAGCAAGAACCCUGGAGUGAUCACCAUAACCAAUGCGGUGUUUGGAUCCAAGCCGUCCAUCUCAGAUGAUAUCAUUGCCAAAGCCUUCCAGGUGGACAAGAAGAUUGUUGACCAUAUUCAAGCUCAGUUCUAA
rnacentral:rRNA from 1 species